rnacentral:lncRNA from 1 species
UUUUUUUGUAGUUGGAAUAGUUGCUUUGUUAAUUACCUUUUACGGACAUACUCUUGUCUUAUAACCAGCAGCAUGUUGGCUGGAGCCUGGGGGGGCGGGGGGCGGGUUGUGGUAAGAUGUACCAUUAGUGCCAAGCUGUAACCAACCAGGUGAUCUGGGGCAAGGUAAGGCAUGAAGAUGCCCAGCUUUGGGGCUGCAUCCACCCUCCCUGAAACACCAAAACCACCACAAAAGAUAACUGCCUACAUGAAACUGAGUGGCCCCCAAAGGGUAACAAUACCUCCAGAAGAUGAGUCAUUUAUGGAAACCGAAUAGGAUACAAAUGAAGAGUUUAGGUUCAGGAGCCAGAGUGCUGUGAUUUGAAUCCUGGCUCCUCCACUUAACUAGCUGUGUAAUCGUGGAAGAAAUGAUGUAACCUCGCUAAUCCACAGUUUCCUAUCUGUAAAAUGGGUAUAGUAAUAAUACCUGCCACACAGGAUUGUUUAUUAAAACAGACAGCCACGUAAAGUACUUGGCCUGGUGCCUGGCAUACGGUGCCCAGCUAACAGUGUCAGCUACUGUUGUUACUAUUACUCAUCUCUUGCACCUGUGUUGGGCUGAGGUCCGUUCUCACCUACUGCUUCCAUGAAUGAAAAAUCAGAGGCUUGAACACAGGAAUGAAUUAUCCCUGUUAAUCCUGAUCUUGCAACACUGAGGCCACAGGAAAUACAACUGCACUAACUGAUACUUUAUUUAUUUAUUUGGUCUUUUUGUCUUUUCAGGGCCACACCUGCAGCAUAUGGAGGUUCCCAGGCCAGGUGUCCAACUGAAGCCGGAGCCACCGGCUUACACCAGAGCCACAGCAAUGCAGGAUCCUAGCCAUGUCUGUGACCUACACCACAGCUCAAGGCAACGCUGGAUCCUCAACCGGCUGAGCGAGGUCAGGGAUUGAACCUGCAUCUUCAUGGAAUACUAGUCAGGUUUGCCAACCCCUGAGCCACGAUGGGAACUCUUGACACUUUUAUAAUCAAAGUGGUAAUAUUUCUGACAGGGCCCUCAGUUAAAUCAUAAAGAUUCCAUCCUGGAAAGAAUCCUUGAUCCAUCUAAAACCUUGUUACUGUGUCCUCUGUUGUUAUUUUUAAUUCCUGAGAGUAACACCACAGUGUAUUUCAUUAGGGUUUCUCUUCAGCAUCUCUAUCUUAAAAGCUAAUGUACUCAAA